rnacentral:rRNA from 1 species
UACGAAGGGGGCGAGCGUUGUUCGGAAUUACUGGGCGUAAAGCGCGCGCAGGCGGUUCUUUAAGUCUGAUGUGAAAGCCCACGGCUCAACCGUGGAGGGUCAUUGGAAACUGGAGAACUUGAGUACAGAAGAGGAAAGCGGAAUUCCACGUGUAGCGGUGAAAUGCGUAGAGAUGUGGAGGAACACCAGUGGCGAAGGCGGCUUUCUGGUCUGUAACUGACGCUGAGGCGCGAAAGCGUGGGGAGCAAACAGG